UUUAGUCAGUGACGGACCACCACGGCAGGCAGUACGCUGAUUUUUAUUACAGUGAUUUUACCAAGGUACUUGGUUACUCUUACACUAUUUCUUUACGAACUAAAUACGACCCAAGUACGCCUCAGAUACGACUUGGAGUACGACCUGGCUGACUUGUAUUAGAGUGUAUAAGGUGGUGACGUUUCAACUACAUAAGAUGGACACGCGUCAAGUCACCACUGUAUCGCUGGCCUCCUCCUGCCGUGUGUUUCGCGGCCCUGUCCUGCGCCAUGCCGUCUGCCCGCCCGUCCUGCCGCGCUCCGAAGAACUCCGCGACGACGAUGACGUGGGGCCUCUGCUGACGGAAGGUGCGGACACUCACGACAGGACGACCCACGCGGAACGACGACACGCUGAAGGGAGGCGUUGAGGCACGGAGGGAAGUGAGCAACUGACGAGAAGAAAGGAAGAAUGAGCGAUGAGGAGAAACAGAUGGAAUAGGAUGAAAAAAAAAACCCUUGAAAAAAAAAAGAAAUGCUGAAUAUGAAAUUGUACGACCAAAACAAAACAAAAAAAAAUCUAAACUUUAAAAUCCC